ACGAAGGGUGCUAGCGUUGUUCGGAAUUACUGGGCGUAAAGCGUACGUAGGCGGCUUAGUAAGUCGGUUGUGAAAGCCCCAAGCUCAACUUGGGAACUGCAACCGAAACUGCUUCGCUUGAGUGUGGUCGGGGAUGGUGGAAUUUCUAGUGUAGGGGUGAAAUCCGUAGAUAUUAGAAGGAAUAUCAGUGGCGAAGGCGACCAUCUAGACCAAUACUGACGCUAAGGUACGAAAGCGUGGGGAGCAAACAGG
rnacentral:rRNA from 1 species